rnacentral:lncRNA from 1 species
AACAGGGGUGGUUACUAUAGCAUCCGACCUGUUCCCGAAAAUGAUCACAGGUAGAAAACUCGCCUUUAGUCCCGGUUGGUAGGGAGUAAAUCUCUCAAAAAUCCAGCCGGGAUAAACGAAUCAAGACAAAAGGGGGUCUUCUGUCCCGGAUUACUAAACUGGGACUAAAGACCCCCUUUUAUCCCGGUUGGUAUUACCUGGGACUAAAGACCCCCUUUUAUCCCGAUUGGUAUUACCAACCGGGAUAAAAAGGGUCGCCAUGCCAGGCAUAGCCCCCCC